UUGAUUUAUUAAGCAAUUGUGUGGAAGCAUUCGUUGAAUUAGUGAUCUUCACCACUGUUGAAUAUACAGAAAAAUGGUUUAAAUUAUUUGAAAUGACUUGCAGAAAUGUUAUUUGUCUAGGAUAACAAGAAUCAAUAGUCAGUUCUUGUUGUAGAAUUGUCGGUGAAUUCGUACUUGAAUGUUUAAACUUUAAAAACAUUCGAGUACGAAUUCACCGACAAUUCUUAAACUUUACUUCAACUUAAACUUUAAACGAACCAAUUUUAAUGGACAGAUUUUUGAAAUCGACGUUGUUAAAUAAACCAAAAUAUCAUCCAACAACUUUAAGCUUUCAUGUUUAAAAGUGAUGAAAGCUUGAAGUUGAUGGAGGAUAUUUUGGUUUUGAUGUUGGUGAAUGAUGGCUCAGGCCUGUGUUGAAACAAGGCGGCGACAUUUAUCUUAUUGCUCUUGUUAAAACAAUAUCUAUAAAAAAUUUGUACGAUGAUUGUAUGCCCUCACAAUGGAUGGAGUUGUGUGAAUUCUGUAUGAAACUUCUCAACACUAAUUUAAACCUGGAUCUAUCAACAUUAGUAAAGAUCUUAAAAUUUGUUGUCCCCAA